GGGGGUGUAGUUUAAACGAGAAUGCAGUUUUUGUAAAACUGGGGUGCUGCAUAGCUCCCCCCA
rnacentral:tRNA from 1 species